AUUAGUAAGUGUUUAAAAAAUGAGAGCAAAUGGGGAAGAUGUAUAGUUUCUGAGAUCUAGAAACUCAAACAGACACGCCCCUUUUCAUAUCAACAUUUAGCAACACACCAAGAAAUCUGAAGACUGUUAAAUGUUUUGAUUUGCCAAGGUCUGAAGCCACCUCAUUCACCCCAAUGGAACCCUUUUCCCACACUCUGCCAGUACUCUGCACAGAAGGGAACCUUCAAAAACACAAUUUCCAGGCAAACUAAAGGACAGAGUGGGAGUGUUUGUAUCCUUUGGUCCUUCUUUAUCAUCUCUUUUCAAAGUUGUCUUCUGCUUCUUUCCUUCCAGCCACCGGCACUUAGCAGAACAUCUCCGUCUGUGAUGGUUUGUAUAUGCUCUGCCCAGUGAAUGGCACUAUUAAAGGAUGUGGCCCUGUUGGAAUAGUGUGGCCUUGUUGGAGUAGUUGUGUCACUGUGGGUAUGGGCUUUAAGACCCUUAUCCUAGCUAACUGGAAGCCACUAUUCCGCUAGCAACCUUCAGAUGAAGAUGUAGAACUUAGGUCCUCCUGCACCAAGCCUGCCUAGAUGCUACCAUACUGCCAUCUUCAUAAUAAUGGACUGUACCUCGGAACCUGUAAGCCA
rnacentral:lncRNA from 1 species